AAAAUAAUUAAUUAAACAACAACCUAAUAAUAAACUUUAUUAAAAUUAAUUUAAAUUAUAAUUUAAAUAUAUUU
rnacentral:tRNA from 1 species